rnacentral:tRNA from 1 species
CGGUUUGUAACUCAGUUGGUAGAGUACCGUCCUUUUAAGACGGGAGCCCCGGGUUCGAGUCCCGGCAGGCCGA